rnacentral:misc_RNA from 1 species
GCAAACUUGGUCAUUUAGAGGAAGUAAAAGUCGUAACAAGGUUUCCGUAGGUGAACCUGCGGAAGGAUCAUUACAGAGUUAGGGUCUUUUAGGCCCCAUCUCCAAUCCUAUGUUUAAUUACCUAGUUGCUUUGGUAGGCCCGUCUUUAUGACCAUCCAAAAUUUUUGGAUCCGUGCCUACCAAUAGCCUCUAACAAAUUCUUGAAAAAUAAUGUCUGAGUAUAAAAUUAAUAAUUAAAACUUUCAACAACGGAUCUCUUGGUUCUGGCAUCGAUGAAGAACGCAGC